CCUACGGGAGGCAGCAGUGGGGAAUAUUGCACAAUGGGCGAAAGCCUGAUCCAGCAACGCCGCGUGAGCGAAGAAGGCUUUCGGUACGUAAAGCUCUGUCAUCAAGGAAGAAAAUGACGGUACCUGACUAAGAAGCCCCGGCUAACUACGUGCCAGCAGCCGCGGUAAUACGUAGGGGGCUAGCGUUAUCCGGAUUUACUGGGGGUAAAGGGCGUGUAGGCGGGAUAGCAAGUCAGAUGUGAAAAGCAUGGGCUCAACCCGUGGUCUGCAUUUGAAACUGUUGAUCUUGAGUCCUGGAGAGGCAGAUGGAAUUCCUAGUGUAGCGGUGAAAUGCGUAGAUAUUAGGAGGAACACCAGUGGCGAAGGCGGUCCGCUGGACAGCAACUGACGCUGAGGCGCGAAAGCGUGGGGAGCAAACAGGAUUAGAUACCCCGGUAGUC
rnacentral:rRNA from 1 species